AUAACAACGAUACGGUCAGGGACAGGCUGUGAUCAGCUCAUCCACUGCACUCGGCUGUGCUGGCCCCUGAGAUUUCCCCAAUGUGGGCAACACAACCGUAUAGUUUGUGAUAGUGGAGGGGGCCUACAUUGGAGUUCUCCUCUG
rnacentral:snRNA from 1 species